AUCGAACGCUGGCGGCAUGCCUUACACAUGCAAGUCGAACGGUAACAGGUCUUCGGAUGCUGACGAGUGGCGAACGGGUGAGUAAUACAUCGGAACGUGCCUAGUAGUGGGGGAUAACUACUCGAAAGAGGGGCUAAUACCGCAUGAGAUCUACGGAUGAAAGCAGGGGAUCGCAAGACCCGGUGUUCAGAAAGGGGCGGAUGGCAGAUUAGGUAGUUGGUGGGAUAAGAGCUUACCAAGCCGACGAUCUGUAGCUGGUCUGAGAGGACGAUCAGCCACACUGGGACUGAGACACGGCCCAGACUCCUACGGGAGGCAGCAGUGGGGAAUUUUGGACAAUGGGCGUAAGCCUGAUCCAGCAAUGCCGCGUGCAGGAUGAAGGCCUUCGGGUUGUAAACUGCUUUUGUACGGAACGAAAAGCCCCGGGUUAAUACCCUGGGGUCAUGACGGUACCGUAAGAAUAAGCACCGGCUAACUACGUGCCAGCCGCCGCCGUAA
rnacentral:rRNA from 1 species